AAGUCGUAACAAGGUUUCCGUAGGUGAACCUGCGGAAGGAUCAUUAACACGAACUUUCUUUAUCCAACAAACAAACCAAACGUGAACUUUUUGAAAUUUCUCCCCAUAUUUCUCUCUAGAGAUAGCGAGGAAUCUGGGCUAUCUUUUACUCCUUUCCGAGUAAAAUUUUUCUUUUUCAACCCCUUUUUCACUUAAACUUCUUAGAUUUGCGGCCUAACGGCGGAAUCUUUCUACUAAUACUAAGUGCAGCGCUGUGUUUCAGUGUUGCCUUGGCUUCUUAUGAAAUAGUAAGAACAACUCUUAACAAUGGAUAUCUUGGUUCCC
rnacentral:misc_RNA from 1 species